ACACAUGCAAGUCGAGGGGCAGCAUGAUUGAAGCUUGCUUCAAUUGAUGGCGACCGGCGCACGGGUGAGUAACGCGUAUCCAACCUUCCGUACACUCAGGGAUAGCCUUUCGAAAGAAAGAUUAAUACCCGAUGGUAUGAUGAGAUUGCAUGAUAGCAUCAUUAAAGAUUUAUCGGUGUACGAUGGGGAUGCGUUCCAUUAGGUAGUAGGCGGGGUAACGGCCCACCUAGCCGACGAUGGAUAGGGGUUCUGAGAGGAAGGUCCCCCACAUUGGAACUGAGACACGGUCCAAACUCCUACGGGAGGCAGCAGUGAGGAAUAUUGGUCAAUGGACGAGAGUCUGAACCAGCCAAGUAGCGUGAAGGAUGAAGGUCCUACGGAUUGUAAACUUCUUUUAUAAGGGAAUAAAACCUCCCACGUGUGGGAGCUUGUAUGUACCUUAUGAAUAAGCAUCGGCUAACUCCGUGCCAGCAGCCGCGGUAAUACGGAGGAUGCGAGCGUUAUCCGGAUUUAUUGGGUUUAAAGGGAGCGCAGACGGGUCGUUAAGUCAGCUGUGAAAGUUUGGGGCUCAACCUUAAAAUUGCAGUUGAUACUGGCGUCCUUGAGUGCGGUUGAGGUGUGCGGAAUUCGUGGUGUAGCGGUGAAAUGCUUAGAUAUCACGAAGAACUCCGAUUGCGAAGGCAGCACACUAAGCCGUAACUGACGUUCAUGCUCGAAAGUGUGGGUAUCAAACAGGAUUAGAUACCCUGGUAGUCCACACGGUAAACGAUGGAUACUCGCUGUUGGCGAUAUACGGUCAGCGGCUUA
rnacentral:rRNA from 1 species